CCACAGGUCAGGUCCAGGUGACACCCACGGGAUACAGGUGGAUGAGGCCAGAUCGAGCAUGAACACCGUAGUGCUGACCAACGUCUCCCACGACACGGCUGGCAGGUACAAGUGUGAGGUGGUGGCCGACUUCACCUUCGAGAAGGACUUCCAACUGAAGGACAUGGAGGUGGUUGUCUUCCCUGACCGGAUACCAGUGCUUGAGGUGUGGAGGCGAACGUGGUCACCUGGGGAGCAGCUGGCGGCCAACUGCACCUCCCUAGGGGCAGACCUUCCCCCUCCUCUCAGUGGUUCACCAACGGGGAU